rnacentral:rRNA from 1 species
CCUACGGGAGGCUGCAGUGAGGAAUAUUGGUCAAUGGGCGCGAGCCUGAACCAGCCAAGUAGCGUGAAGGAUGAAUGCCCUACGGGUUGUAAACUUCUUUUAUAAAGGAAUAAAGUGAGGCACGUGUGCAUUUUUGUAUGUACUUUAUGAAUAAGGAUCGGCUAACGCCGUGCCAGCAGCCGCGGUAAUACGGAGGAUCCGAGCGUUAUCCGGAUUUAUUGGGUUUAAAGGGAGCGUAGAGGGGUUGUUACGUCAGUUGUGAAAGUUUGCGGCUCAACCGUACAAUUGCCAUUGAUACUGGCAGCCUUGCGUACAGUUGCGGUAGGCGGAAUUCGUGGUGUAGCGG